rnacentral:rRNA from 1 species
CGCGUAGGUGGUUCGUUAAGUUGGAUGUGAAAUCCUCGGGCUCAACCUGGGAACUGCAUUCAAAACUGACGAGCUAGAGUAUGGUAGAGGGUGGUGGAAUUUCCUGUGUAGCGGUGAAAUGCGUAGAUAUAGGAAGGAACACCAGUGGCGAAGGCGACCACCUGGACUGAUACUGACACUGAGGUGCGAAAGCGUGGGGAGCAAACA